rnacentral:rRNA from 1 species
AACGAACGCUGGCGGCGUGCCUAACACAUGCAAGUCGAGCGGGAACGGUCCCUUCGGGGGCCUAGUACAGCGGCGCACGGGUGAGUAAUACGUAGGUGACCUACCUCUUGCUGGGGAACAACCCCGGGAAACCGAGGCUAAUUCCGCAUAAGCCCUCCGGAUUGCGGUCCGGAUGGGAAAGGUGGCCUCUCCAUGGAAGCUAUCGGCAAGAGAUGGGCCUGCGUCCCAUCAGCUAGUUGGUAGGGUAACGGCCUACCAAGGCUACAACGGGUAGCUGGUCUGAGAGGAUGAUCAGCCACACUGGAACUGAGACACGGUCCAGACUCCUACGGGAGGCUG